ensembl:lncRNA
CCUAGAGCCACCUAACCAGGAAGCAUCUCACAGAGGCAGAAAGACUCAAUAACUCAGAAUCCAGGAGGGCUUCUGCUCGGCUGUGGACUUUUAAUGACAACAUUCAUCACUGAGUAAAGGGUUUCAAGGACAAAGAUCUCCUAGAAAAGGCCGCCCGGCCCCACUGUCUGCAGGUCAUGGUUCCUACCGCACUGAGAUCUGAGGGGCAAGAGACCCCCUCUGGCUUGUGGACCAACCUCAGUCCUGAAGCAGCGAAUUCCUUCAAGUUGGACACCAACCACUUCAACCAUGAGGGCUGCAGCUGAAGCUUCUCAGGUGUGGCACCAGGUAUCACAGCUCCUGGUAUUUUGUUUGAAAGAAGAUAAUUCAGAAGAUACAUCAAAAACAGUGUCUUCAAAGGCACUGACUUAACCAAAAAAUCCAAGAAAUGUUAUGCCAUCUUCCAAUACCAUAAACCACUAGAA